ACGGGGCAGCAGUGGGGAAUAUUUCACAAUGGGCGCAAGCCUGAUGCAGCAACGCCGCGUGAGGGAAGACGGUCUUCGGAUUGUAAACCUUUGUCUUUGGUGAAGAAACAAUGACGGUAGCCAAGGAGGAAGCCACGGCUAACUACGUGCCAGCAGCCGCGGUAAUACGUAGGUGGCAAGCGUUGUCCGGAAUUACUGGGUGUAAAGGGAGCGCAGGCGGGACAGCAAGUUGGAUGUGAAAUACCGAGGCUUAACCACGGAGCUGCAUCCAAAACUGUUGUUCUUGAGUGAAGUAGAGGCAGGCGGAAUUCCGAGUGUAGCGGUGAAAUGCGUAGAUAUUCGGAGGAACACCAGUGGCGAAGGCGGCCUGCUGGGCUUUAACUGACGCUGAGGCUCGAAAGUGUGGGGAGCAAACAGGAUUAGAUACCCUGGUA
rnacentral:rRNA from 1 species